AGCCAAUGAAAUGUAAGCAGAAGUGACAUAUGCAGCAUGACCAGUGGAAGCUUCGAAGAGCUAUUGCCAAUUUCCACCCUCUCUCUGGAAACUGUCAUUAGGGUUAGGGAAACUGUCAUGAGAUCUGCAUAUUUUAGAUAGAGGCUGCUUGCCUUAUUUGGGCACCUAAUGAAAAAGACAUGGAGGCCAGGUGCGGUGGCUCAUGUCUGUAAUCCCAGCACUUUGGGAGGCCAAGGCGAGUGGAUCACCUGAGGUCAGGAGUUCGAGACCAGCCUGACCAACAUGGCAAAACCCCGUCUGUACUAAAAGUGCAAACACAAAGGGAACUGCGUGGCUUGUUUCUACCUGAACAUUGUCAAGUGAUUUCAUCCUUUGAAACACAGUUGUGAAGUGUGUCCAGCAGUCUGAGAACAAGAAGAAGAAGAAAAUCUAAUCCUUCAGGGUGUCUGUGUGCCAGCCCUGCUCUCAGCACUUCCCAUGUGGAACUCCUUUACUUCUCCUAACAACUCCAUGACAUGGGUUAGACUGUGAUUGUUCCCAUAUUGUUGGUAGGGAAACUGAGGCAUGCAGGUGUUACAGAGCUCUCUCAAGUGGCAAGCUUUCUGGGUGGUUACAGAGUGGCAGAGCUGGGGUAUCCCAUGAUGUCACCACACUGCUAUAUGGAAAAGAACAUUAAUCGAGCACCUACGUGCUUGAUUCUCUUAAUUCUGUGACUGAACUCUCAAAACACCCUGGGUUGGUUUCCUUUUUACAACUGCCCAAGUCAUGAGUUCAUAGGGCCUGGAUGGCUGUACCGGAUUGCUCUCCAGCUGGUCUCUCUGCAUCCAGAAAUUUCUACAACCUACUGGGAGCACUGCGUGUUUUGAAAUAUACAAAUAGUGGGAAACGAAAUCUUUGUUCUGGAUGCAGUUAUAAUUUGGAAAGCGAGGAAAUAAAUUAUAACAAGGGGAAAAAACAGACACAGAGGGAUUGAAAUGCAUAACAAUAGAGAUGAAACACGAAGAGUGAUAAAUGAAGAUUGAGUGUGCACACCUUCUGGAGGAGCCCUGAUUGAGUAUUUUAAAAUACUACUAAAGUCAUGCCGUGUGACUUCUGAAGCUAGCUCCUAAGAAGUCCUUGCAGCUUCUGCCUGCGACUCUUAGAACACUUGCUUUGAAGGAUGCCAGAUGCUGUCUUAAAAGUCUGAGCACUCUGAAACCAUCAUGCUGUGAGGAAGCCCAAGCUAACCACAUGGGCAAAAAAGAUGCCCUCUGACUGCCACCAUUUGAGACACUCUAAUUAAGAACUGCCUCAUUGAGCCCAUGAGGCCCUGUGAAUGAUAAUAAUAAAUUGUUUUUAACCACUAUGUUUUUGGAUUUGUUAUAAGUUUAUAGAUAACAAGAAAAAGUUAUAUUAGCAUGGUAAUAAAAUUAUGGAUAUGUGUAA
rnacentral:lncRNA from 1 species